UACAGAGGUGGCAAGCGUUGUUCGGAAUUACUGGGCGUAAAGGGCGCGUAGGCGGCCUUCUAAGUCAGACGUGAAAUCCCCGGCUUAACCCUGGGAACUGCGUCUGAUACUGGAGGGCUUGAGUGCGGGAGAGGGAUGUGGAAUUCCAGGUGUAGCGGUGAAAUGCGUAGAUAUCUGGAGGAACACCGGUGGCGAAGGCGGCAUCCUGGACCGACACUGACGCUGAGGCGCGAAAGCUAGGGUAGCAAACGGG
rnacentral:rRNA from 1 species